UGACACUGAUAAUUAAGCGGAGCCCACUAGUCAGCAAAACCCAAGCCAGAUUUUUCCUCCGGUUCUUUCCUUCCGUCCUGGGCGUUCCGUUUUCAUCUUCAAAGGCAGACAGAUACAACCGUCCAUAUCGACGCCUCGCCGCCGCCAUUGCCUUCGCCGUUUUGCACAGCGAAGCAUCACGCUCUCCUGUACUCUAGAACCACCUCACAGCACUACGCGAGCUCUCCUUCUCUUCCUCUCGUAGAGAAACGUAGAUAAAAAUGUAAAUAUUAGUGAGGAACCUAAUAUCAAAUAAAUAGAAUGGAAGAGGCUUCGAACCCAAACUGAGCUAGCCCACCUCCUUUUGGAGCUAGCCGGGAGAAUCCUAGACGUUUCUCAAGAAGCAUAGAUCCAUCUGUAGUUCCACACCACUAUUUGAUUAUCAUGAUUAAUCUGAAAUGGCUGCAUCAACGCGCGCUGCUGUUUUGGGUAGCACGGAGACGUUCAGGUUCUGCAUUGACAGGGGCGGCACAUUCACCAACAUCCACACCGAGCUGCCCGGAAGGAGGGAAGGCUACGAGAAUGAAGCUUCUCUCCGUCGACCCGUCCAACUACGAGUCUACGACGACGCCCCCAUCGAAGGGAUCAGGAGGAUCCUGGAGGAGUUCUCCGGCGAGAAGAUUUGAAUAGCCGUGUUUACGGUUACAAGAAAAUCGAUUGAUGUGUUAGUCAAUCUAUGUUAGCAUGGAUAUUAUGGCUUUGUUUAGUCAUGGAUAUUUGGUAAAUAUUUAUAUAGGCAAUGAUGGCCCAUGGAUGUUGUUUAGAACACUCGUGUUCAUUUACAUUUAAAAUUCAGAUUUAUAUGCUUACUGUCCUUAAUUUCAGAUUAUAGUGUACGUUCUACAAAUCCUUAUGAUUUAACUUACUAUUUACUCAACAAAAUUAACUUUAUGCAAAACUGAACUACUUAGCUAUUUUCAUUGAUAUAUGUAGAAAUUUGCAUUCUCCUAUGUACAAUCAUAUAUUGUGUUAGUCUUGCGGAGUAACCUUUCGUACUCAUAUUGCUAUUUUUAGGUGAGGACGAUGGUGUUGAUGAUGUGCUCUACUACUAUCCCACAUGUCAUACUUCUCCCUCAACCCAAUCCCUCCUCAAUUGCUCUCUCUCUCUCUCUCUCUCGGGCGGCUGGCUGUGCCGAUGGAGGUGGACCGGGCGGCCGGCGAUGGAGGUGGAGCUCGCCCGGGCGGCCGAUGGCGGUAGUGGAGGCAGAGGCGGACCGGGCGGCCGGUGGCGGAGGAGGAGCUUGCCCGUGCAGUGGGCGAAAGAAGCGGAGCUCGCUUGGGCGGCCGGUGGCGGAGAUGGAGUUGGACCGGCGACCGGCGGCGGAGAUGGAGUUCGACCGGUGACUGGCGGCGGAGGCGGAGCUCACCCGGGCAGCAGGCGACUAAGGCGGAGGCGGACAGGGCAGCCGGUGACGGAGGCAGAGCUCGCCUGGGCGGCGGGCGUGUGAGGCGAAGCUCGCUCUGGUGGCCGGCGGCUGAGGCGGAGCUCGCCUGGCUGCCUCCCCGCCACGCCCCCGAGCCCCAGCAGCAGAGAGCUCGCCCUCGCGCGAAUGUGGCGGCUACGGUGGCGGCCCUCCCCGCUGCUGCACUGCAGGAAAGGGGGAAUCGACAAAGAAGGAGAGGGGAAAGGGGAGGAACGGCGGUGGUGGCCCUCCACGCUGCCAUCCGCCUUCGGCGCAGCUCUAUCUCUCCCGGCAACACCGCCGCAAUGCCUUCCGGCCGCCGCCCGCCCUCCCCACCGCGCUCCUAGCGUUAGAGAUUGGAGAUAUAAUUGGAGUAUAUGACAAUUGGGCCUAUAGCUUUUUAUUAUUUUUUUCUAAUUGAAUUGCCAUGUUGAUGCCACGUGUAUGUCACGUAGGUCCAAAACCGCUCCGGAUUGAGCUAAGGGGGUAAUUUGUCCGGUUUCAAUAGUUUGAGGUGUCAAAUGUCCGGUUCUGUGGUUCAGGGGGGUAAUUCGUACCGUCGCUAAUGUUUAGGGGUGUAAUUCAUACUUUUUCAUAUAAAAUAUGUAUCUUGUUGUCCUUUUAUCCAAAUCUA